rnacentral:lncRNA from 1 species
CCCACCGGCAAGCAAUUCAUGAUGGUAGAAGUUGGAGAAGAGGAGAUGGAAUCUAGUUUACCUACUAGUGGCAACUUCCUCCUCUAUUUAUAAUGUCCUCGAAUGGUUAAGAUCAGAUUGUUCCCCCUUAAUCACUAACCAGUUGCCAUGUUCUUCAAGCCUCUAAUGGUUCAGAUCCCCAUUUAGGUGACAUUCUUUGUGUAGUCCUCUUCUGGAUAGUCACCACCUUAGAAAAUUACUCAAAUGAAGGCAACACGGCAUCUGAAGUAGAGUCCCCA